rnacentral:rRNA from 1 species
AGGAACAAGGUUUCCGUAGGUGAACCUGCGGAAGGAUCAUUAAUUAUGUUAAAGCGCCUUACCUCUUAGGGUUUCCUCUGGGGUAAGUGAUUGCUUCUACACUGUGAAAAUUUGGCUGAGAGACUCAGACUGGUCAUGGGUAGACCUAUCUGGGGUUUGAUCGAUGCCACUCCUGGUUUCAGGAGCACCCUUCAUAAUAAACCUAGAAAUUCAGUAUUAUAAAGUUUAAUAAAAAACAACUUUUAACAAUGGAUCUCUUGGUUCUCGCAUCGAUGAAGAACGUAGCAAAGUGCGAUAACUAGUGUGAAUUGCAUAUUCAGUGAAUCAUCGAGUCUUUGAACGCAGCUUGCACUCUAUGGUUUUUCUAUAGAGUACGCCUGCUUCAGUAUCAUCACAAACCCACACAUAACAUUUGUUUAUGUGGUAAUGGGUCGCAUCGCUGUUUUAUUACAGUGAGCACCUAAAAUGUGUGUGAUUUUCUGUCUGGCUUGCUAGGCAGGAAUAUUACGCUGGUCUCAGGAUCUUUUUCUUUGGUUCGCCCAGGAAGUAAAGUACAAGAGUAUAAUCCAGCAACUUUCAAACUAUGAUCGAAGUCUGGAGAACCCUUACCCCAAGGCCC